rnacentral:rRNA from 1 species
GCAGUCGAGCGGAACGAGUUGUCUGAACCUUCGGGGAACGAUAACGGCGUCGAGCGGCGGACGGGUGAGUAAUGCCUGGGAAAUUGCCCUGAUGUGGGGGAUAACCAUUGGAAACGAUGGCUAAUACCGCAUAAUAGCUUCGGCUCAAAGAGGGGGACCUUCGGGCCUCUCGCGUCAGGAUAUGCCCAGGUGGGAUUAGCUAGUUGGUGAGGUAAUGGCUCACCAAGGCGACGAUCCCUAGCUGGUCUGAGAGGAUGAUCAGCCACACUGGAACUGAGACACGGUCCAGACUCCUACGGGAGGCAGCAGUGGGGAAUAUUGCACAAUGGGCGCAAGCCUGAUGCAGCCAUGCCGCGUGUAUGAAGAAGGCCUUCGGGUUGUAAAGUACUUUCAGCAGUGAGGAAGGUGGUAGUGUUAAUAGCACUAUCAUUUGACGUUAGCUGCAGAAGAAGCACCGGCUAACUCCGUGCCAGCAGCCGCGGUAAUACGGAGGGUGCGAGCGUUAAUCGGAAUUACUGGGCGUAAAGCGCAUGCAGGUGGUUUGUUAAGUCAGAUGUGAAAGCCCGGGGCUCAACCUCGGAAUAGCAUUUGAAACUGGCAGACUAGAGUACUGUAGAGGGGGGUAGAAUUUCAGGUGUAGCGGUGAAAUGCGUAGAGAUCUGAAGGAAUACCGGUGGCGAAGGCGGCCCCCUGGACAGAUACUGACACUCAGAUGCGAAAGCGUGGGGAGCAAACAGGAUUAGAUACCCUGGUAGUCCACGCCGUAAACGAUGUCUACUUGGAGGUUGUGGCCUUGAGCCGUGGCUUUCGGAGCUAACGCGUUAAGUAGACCGCCUGGGGAGUACGGUCGCAAGAUUAAAACUCAAAUGAAUUGACGGGGGCCCGCACAAGCGGUGGAGCAUGUGGUUUAAUUCGAUGCAACGCGAAGAACCUUACCUACUCUUGACAUCCUCAGAACAUACUGGAGACGGACUUGUGCCUUCGGGAACUGAGAGACAGGUGCUGCAUGGCUGUCGUCAGCUCGUGUUGUGAAAUGUUGGGUUAAGUCCCGCAACGAGCGCAACCCUUAUCCUUGUUUGCCAGCGAGUAAUGUCGGGAACUCCAGGGAAACUGCCGGUGAUAA